rnacentral:rRNA from 1 species
CAGUAGCCACGGUAAUACGAAGGGUGCAAGCGUUAAUCGGAAUUACUGGGCGUAAAGCGUGCGUAGGCGGUGAGUUAAGUCUGCUGUGAAAUCCCCGGGCUCAACCUGGGAAUGGCAGUGGAUACUGGCUCGCUAGAGUGUGUCAGAGGAUGGUGGAAUUCCCGGUGUAGCGGUGAAAUUCGUAGAUAUUCGGAAGAACACCAGUGGCGAAGGCGGCUCACUGGCUCAUACUGGACGCUGAGGUGCGAAAGCGUGGGGAGCAAACAGGAUUAGAUACCCCCGUAGUCCCUGUCUCUUAUAC